rnacentral:rRNA from 1 species
UGACGGGGACCCGCACAAGCGGUGGAUGAUGUAGUUUAAUUCGAUGCAACGCGAAAAACCUUACCCACCUUUGACAUGUACGGAAGUUGCCAGAGAUGGCUUCGUGCUCGAAAGAGAGCCGUAACACAGGUGCUGCAUGGCUGUCGUCAGCUCGUGUCGUGAGAUGUUGGGUUAAGUCCCGCAACGAGCGCAACCCUUGUCAUUAGUUGCUACGAAAGGGCACUCUAAUGAGACUGCCGGUGACAAACCGGAGGAAGGUGGGGAUGACGUCAAGUCCUCAUGGCCCUUAUAGGUGGGGCUACACACGUCAUACAAUGGCUGGUACAAAGGGUUGCCAACCCGCGAGGGGGAGCCAAUCCCAUAAAGCCAGUCGUAGUCCGGAUCGCAGUCUGCAACUCGACUGCGUGAAGUCGGAAUCGCUAGUAAUCGUGGAUCAGCAUGUCACGGUGAAUACGUUCCCGGGUCUUGUACACACCGCCCGUCACACCAUGGGAGCGGGUCUCGCCAGAAGUAGUUAGCCUAACCGCAAGGAGGGCGAUACCACGGCCGGGUUUUUGGCCCGCC